AUGUUUGAGGUGAAAAUAACAAGGCCAUUUUCUUCUUCUUCUUGCCGUGAGUUGAGAAAGAAAAUAGAAACCUUUGAGCUUAGGGCAUUCGGCAAAAGAAGGCUUCAAAUAAGCUCAAGAGCAUAGAGGGGCAAUUUUGGAUAAAGAGAAAGUAAACGAAUAGCCGUGGAUAUCUAGUCGUCGACCACUUCCGAGGUUGUGGAUUCUGACUACCAGUUCGGGGAUCAUCAGCACUUCGUCACACUAUCUACCAUUACGGCAACUAUGUGAUUAGACUUAGCUUAUGGCAUGUAUAGGAUAGACAAUAUAGUAGAAUGAUAUUUUGACUAUUGUAUAUAAGCCAUAUGAAAAUGGCAUCUUUUGAAUGUUUACUUAUAGAAGUUUACAAGUUAA